UGCAAGUCGAACGGCAGCACAGCAGUAGCAAUACUGUGGGUGGCGAGUGGCGGACGGGUGAGGAAUACAUCGGGAUCUACCUUUUCGUGGGGGAUAACGUAGGGAAACUUACGCUAAUACCGCAUACGCCCUACGGGGGAAAGCGGCGGACCGCAAGGCGUCSCGCGAUGAGAUGAACCGAUGUCCGAUUAGCUAGUUGGCGGGGUAAAGGCCCMCCAAGGCGACGAUCGGUAGCUGAUCUGAGAGGAUGAUCAGCCMCACUGGAACUGAGACACGGUCCAGACUCCUACGGGAGGCAGCAGUGGGGAAUAUUGGACAAUGGGCGCAAGCCUGAUCCAGCCAUGCCGCGUGGGUGAAGAAGGCCUUCGGGUUGUAAAGCCCUUUUGUCCGGAAAGAAAAGCACGGGAUUAAUACCCUCGUGUGAUGACGGUACCGGAAGAAUAAGCACCGGCUAACUUCGUGCCAGCAGCCGCGGUAAUACGAAGGGUGCAAGCGUUACUCGGAAUUACUGGGCGUAAAGCGUGCGUAGGUGGUUUGUUAAGUCUGUCGUGAAAUCCCCGGGCUCAACCUGGGAAUGGCGAUGGAUACUGGCAAGCUAGAGUGAGGUAGAGGAGAGUGGAAUUCCCGGUGUAGCAGUGAAAUGCGUAGAGAUCGGGAGGAACAUCAGUUGCGAAGGCGGCUCUCUGGACCAUCACUGACACUGAGGCACGAAAGCGUGGGGAGCAAACAGGAUUAGAUACCCUGGUAGUCCACGCCCUAAACGAUGCGAACUGGACGUUGGGCUCAAUUGAGAGUUCAGUGUCGAAGCUAACGCGUUAAGUUCGCCGCCUGGGGAGUACGGUCGCAAGACUGAAACUCAAAGGAAUUGACGGGGGCCCGCACAAGCGGUGGAGUAUGUGGUUUAAUUCGAUGCAACGCGCAGAACCUUACCUGGUCUUGACAUCCACGGAAUCCUUUA
rnacentral:rRNA from 1 species